rnacentral:rRNA from 1 species
UGGGGAAUAUUGCGCAAUGGGGGGAACCCUGACGCAGCCAUGCCGCGUGAAUGAAGAAGGCCUUAGGGUUGUAAAGUUCUUUCGGUAUUGAGGAAGGUUGAUGUGUUAAUAGCACAUCAAAUUGACGUUAAAUACAGAAGAAGCACCGGCUAACUCCGUGCCAGCAGCCGCGGUAAUACGGAGGGUGCGAGCGUUAAUCGGAAUAACUGGGCGUAAAGGGCACGCAGGCGGUUAUUUAAGUGAGGUGUGAAAGCCCCGGGCUUAACCUGGGAAUUGCAUUUCAGACUGGGUAACUAGAGUACUUUAGGGAGGGGUGGAAUUCCACGUGUAGCGGUGAAAUGCGUAGGGAUGUGGAGGAAUACCGAAGGCGAAGGCAGCCCCUUGGGAAUGUACUGACGCUCAUGUGCGAAAGCGUGGGGAGCAAACAGGAUUAGAUACCCUGGUAGUCCACGCUGUAAACGCUGUCGAUUUGGGGGUUGGGGUUUAACUCUGGCGCCCGUAGCUAACGUGAUAAAUCGACCGCCUGGGGAGUACGGCCGCAAGGUUA